UGCCGGAUGGCUCACUCGGAAAAGCAUCGCGUUGCGACCGCCACGGCGCGGGUUCGAUCCCCGCCUCAUACCC